ensembl:lncRNA
ACGUCUUAGCUUGGAAAGGUGCAUUUUGUCCUGAUUCCUGCUGCAGAUGCACUAAUUGGGGCUCUGGUGAUGUCGAUUCUAAAGCAAUGAAGCUUCUGUGGUUUGUGAUUGGAGCCCCAGGUCAGGUCUGAGGCCCUCGCCGUUGCAUCCCUUUGGGUUGCUGAGAUUCCUGAGUGCCAUGGGGGCUGCAGUGGCUGCAGAGACCUGGGGAAUGGUGGCAGUUGUGAAAGUUAAUAGGCCCAUUUCUGCCCUUGGCAGUGGCUGAAUUGCAACUCCUGUCACGUGCUUGAGUCUUGGAGGUCGCCAUGGACUAUGCUGUGGUCCUAGGCCUGCAUUCCUCCUGCAGGUUGGCCAGAGGCCCAGAGAAGAAUGUUUGUGCAGGUCUUCUGAAGUCUUCCUGAAAGCAUCCCUGGUGAUCUGUGAGCCCUUGGUCGUGUUGCCCGCCUUCUUCCUGUGGGUCUUGCUGGAUGCUCAUUGUCCCUGUGAGCCGAGGCCCUGGAGGCUUCAGAUUUAGGU